rnacentral:rRNA from 1 species
UACGAAGGGUGCAAGCGUUAUUCGGAUUGACUGGGCGUAAAGUGUGUGUAGACGGUGUAUUAAGUCUGUUGUUAAAUUCCCUGGCUCAACUAGGGGCAAGCAGUGGAUACUAAUACGCUAGAGGAUGGGAGAGAGAAGUGGAAUUCUCGGAGUAGCGGUAAAAUGCGUAGAUCUCGAGAGGAACACCAAUGGCGAAGGCAGCUUCUUGGUCCAUUUCUGACGUUGAGACACGAAAGCGUGGGGAUCAAACAGG